UAGAGUUUGAUCCUGGCUCAGAAUGAACGCUGGCGGCGUGCUUAACACAUGCAAGUCGUACGAGAACUCUUUAGCUUGCUAAGGAUAGUAAAGUGGCGUACGGGUGAGUAACGCGUGGGUAAUCUACCCCUGAAUCUGGAAUAACAUUGCGAAAGCGAUGCUAAUACCAGAUAAUAUCUGAAUUAGACUUCUUUUUCAGAUCAAAGGUGGCCUCUAUGAAUAAGCUACUGUUUGGGGAUGAGCCCGCGUACCAUUAGCUAGUUGGUAGGGUAAUGGCCUACCAAGGCAACGAUGGUUAGCUGGUCUGAGAGGAUGAUCAGCCACACUGGAACUGACACACGGUCCAGACUCCUACGGGAGGCAGCAGUGAGGAAUUUUGCGCAAUGGGGGAAACCCUGACGCAGCAACGCCGCGUGAGUGAUGAAGGCUUUCGGGUCGUAAAGCUCUGUCGAGUGGGAAGAACAAAAAAGGUUAUAAUACAUCUUUUUCUGACGGUACCACCAAAGGAAGCACCGGCUAACUCCGUGCCAGCAGCCGCGGUAACACGGGGGGUGCAAGCGUUAUUCGGAAUUAUUGGGCGUAAAGGGCGCGCAGGCGGUUUCUUAAGUCAGAUGUGAAAGCCCGGGGCUUAACCCCGGAAGGGCGUUUGAAACUAAGUAACUUGAGUAUGGGAGAGGGAAGUGGAA
rnacentral:rRNA from 1 species